rnacentral:rRNA from 1 species
UGUCAGCAGCCGCGGUAAUACGGAGGGUGCAGGCGUUAUCCGGAUUUACUAGGUUUAAAGGGUCUGUAGGCGGUUAUAUAAGUCAGUGGUGAAAGCUCGGAGCUUAACUUCGGAACAGCCAUUGAUACUGUAUGACUUGAGUAAAGUUGAUGUUGGCGGAAUACAUCAUGUAGCGGUGAAAUGCUUAGAUAUGAUGUAGAACACCGAUUGCGAAGGCAGCUGACAAAACUUUUACUGACGCUGAUAGACGAAAGCGUGGGUAGCGAACAGGAUUAGAUACCCUGGUAGUCCACGCCGUAAACGAUGGAUACUCGUUGCUGGCGAUACACAGUCAGUGACUUAGCGAAAGCGUUAAGUAUCCCACCUGGGGAGUACGGUCGCAAGACUGAAACUCAAAUAAAUUGACGG